GAGAGCGGCGGACGGGUGAGUAAUGCCUAGGAAUCUGCCUGGUAGUGGGGGAUAACGUCCGGAAACGGACGCUAAUACCGCAUACGUCCUACGGGAGAAAGCAGGGGACCUUCGGGCCUUGCGCUAUCAGAUGAGCCUAGGUCGGAUUAGCUAGUUGGUGGGGUAAUGGCUCACCAAGGCGACGAUCCGUAACUGGUCUGAGAGGAUGAUCAGUCACACUGGAACUGAGACACGGUCCAGACUCCUACGGGAGGCAGCAGUGGGGAAUAUUGGACAAUGGGCGAAAGCCUGAUCCAGCCAUGCCGCGUGUGUGAAGAAGGUCUUCGGAUUGUAAAGCACUUUAAGUUGGGAGGAAGGGCAGUAAAUUAAUACUUUGCUGUUUUGACGUUACCGACAGAAUAAGCACCGGCUAACUCUGUGCCAGCAGCCGCGGUAAUACAGAGGGUGCAAGCGUUAAUCGGAAUUACUGGGCGUAAAGCGCGCGUAGGUGGUUCGUUAAGUUGGAUG
rnacentral:rRNA from 1 species